AUUUUAUUUUACUCCUCGCCACGAGCAAUGGAGGGGGGUCGGGAAGGGCUGCUCGGAGUUACGGCGGAGGGUGAGUAACACGUGGGUAACCUGCCUGUAAGACUGGGAUAACUCCGGGAAACCGGAGCUAAUACCGGAUAGUUCCUUGAACCGCAUGGUUCAAGGAUGAAAGACGGUUUCGGCUGUCACUUACAGAUGGACCCGCGGCGCAUUAGCUAGUUGGUGGGGUAAUGGCUCACCAAGGCGACGAUGCGUAGCCGACCUGAGAGGGUGAUCGGCCACACUGGGACUGAGACACGGCCCAGACUCCUACGGGAGGCAGCAGUAGGGAAUCUUCCGCAAUGGACGAAAGUCUGACGGAGCAACGCCGCGUGAGUGAUGAAGGUUUUCGGAUCGUAAAGCUCUGUUGUUAGGGAAGAACAAGUGCGAGAGUAACUGCUCGCACCUUGACGGUACCUAACCAGAAAGCCACGGCUAACUACGUGCCAGCAGCCGCGGUAAUACGUAGGUGGCAAGCGUUGUCCGGAAUUAUUGGGCGUAAAGGGCUCGCAGGCGGUUUCUUAAGUCUGAUGUGAAAGCCCCCGGCUCAACCGGGGAGGGUCAUUGGAAACUGGGAAACUUGAGUGCAGAAGAGGAGAGUGGAAUUCCACGUGUAGCGGUGAAAUGCGUAGAGAUGUGGAGGAACACCAGUGGCGAAGGCGACUCUCUGGUCUGUAACUGACGCUGAGGAGCGAAAGCGUGGGGAGCGAACAGGAUUAGAUACCCUGGUAGUCCACGCCGUAGACGAUGAGUGCUAAGUGUUAGGGGGGUUUCCGCCCCUUAGUGCUGCAGCUAACGCAUUAAAGCACUCCGCCCUGGGGAGUACGGUCGCAAGACUGAAACUCAAAGGAAUUGACGGGGGCCCGCACAAGCGGUGGAGCAUGUGGUUUAAUUCGAAGCAACGCGAAGAACCUUACCAGGUCUUGACAUCCUCUGACAACCCUAGAGAUAGGGCUUUCCCUUCGGGGACAGAGUGACAGGUGGUGCAUGGUUGUCGUCAGCUCGUGUCGUGAGAUGUUGGGUUAAGUCCCGCAACGAGCGCAACCCUUGAUCUUAGUUGCCAGCAUUCAGUUGGGCACUCUAAGGUGACUGCCGGUGACAAACCGGAGGAAGGUGGGGAUGACGUCAAAUCAUCAUGCCCCUUAUGACCUGGGCUACACACGUGCUACAAUGGACAGAACAAAGGGCUGCAAGACCGCAAGGUUUAGCCAAUCCCAUAAAUCUGUUCUCAGUUCGGAUCGCAGUCUGCAACUUCGACUGCGUGAAGCUGGAAUCGCUAGUAAUCGCGGAUCAGCUGCCGCGUCCCUA
rnacentral:rRNA from 1 species